rnacentral:rRNA from 1 species
GAACGCCGGCGGCGUGCUAACACAUGCAAGUCGAGCGGAGAUACAUGUCUAGGAGAUUCGGUCGAAUUAAUUGUAUCUUAGCGGCGGGAUGGGUGAGGAACGCGUGGAGAACCUGCCCUUCACAGGGGGAUAACAGCUGGAAACGGCUGUUAAUACCGCAUAUGCUCACAGGAUCGCAUGAUCCAGGGAGGAAAGCCGAGACGGUGAAGGAUGGCUCCGCGUCGGAUUAGCCAGUUGGCGGGGUAACGGCCCACCAAAGCGAUGAUCCGUAGCCGGCCUGAGAGGGCGACCGGCCACAUUGGGACUGAGACACGGCCCAAACUCCUACGGGAGGCAGCAGUGGGGGAUAUUGCACAAUGGGGGAAACCCUGAUGCAGCGAACCGCCGCGUGAAGGAGGAAGUGCUUCGGCAUGUAAACUUCUAUCAGCAGGGAAGAAGAUGACGGUACCUGACUAAGAAGCCCCGGCUAACUACGUGCCAGCAGCUGC